UCGAGGGGUAUAUUUCUUCGGAGAUAGAGACCGGCGCACGGGUGCGUAACGCGUAUGCAAUCUACCUUUUACAGAGGGAUAGCCCAGAGAAAUUUGGAUUAAUACCUCAUAGCAUUGCAGAAUGGCAUCAUUCAGCAAUUAAAGUCACAACGGUAAAAGAUGAGCAUGCGUCCCAUUAGCUAGUUGGUAAGGUAACGGCUUACUAAGGCAACGAUGGGUAGGGGUCCUGAGAGGGAGAUCCCCCACACUGGUACUGAGACACGGACCAGACUCCUACGGGAGGCAGCAGUGAGGAAUAUUGGUCAAUGGGCGCAAGCCUGAACCAGCCAUGCCGCGUGCAGGAUGACGGUCCUAUGGAUUGUAAACUGCUUUUGUACGGGAAGAAACACUACUUCGUGAAGUAGCUUGACGGUACCGUAAGAAUAAGGAUCGGCUAACUCCGUGCCAGCAGCCGCGGUAAUACGGAGGAUCCAAGCGUUAUCCGGAAUCAUUGGGUUUAAAGGGUCCGUAGGCGGUUUAGUAAGUCAGUGGUGAAAGCCCAUCGCUCAACGGUGGAACGGCCAUUGAUACUGCUAGACUUGAAUUAUUAGGAAGUAACUAGAAUAUGUAGUGUAGCGGUGAAAUGCUUAGAGAUUACAUGGAAUACCAAUUGCGAAGGCAGGUUACUACUAAUGGAUUGACGCUGAUG
rnacentral:rRNA from 1 species